rnacentral:lncRNA from 12 species
CACAGGGCGCACACGGGGGCACCUGUUCCCUCCCAGCCCUCCUGCCCCACGGGUCCCGGAGCCUCCCCUUGGCCAGGCUUCUCCGGGUGGCCGGACUGGGGACUAAUAAUGUCGGAGGUUAACUUCCACAGCUUUGAUUCUGGGCAGGUCAUCUUGUCCCUCUGCCUUGGCCUGCAAAUCUGUUUCUCCUUGGAGACUUCUGAACUGCAGCGCCCGGCGGCUCUGCAAUGCGGCAGCAGCUUCCAGCAGAGACAGAGACCAGAGCAUGAACAUUCAACGCAUUUUACCCAGACGCGCGGCCCAAUUAAGCCACUCCGUCCGUCUCCCCCGCCAGCUCAGCCAGAAAGGCCACUCAGGGCGGCAGCACAGGGGCGGCGGGAGUCUCGAGCCCCUGAUGCAGUGGGUGACGGAGGAGGCGAGCUGACCCCGGCCCCCGUCCUGCUAAACAAGAACGGGGGUGCAUGCCCCCCCCCCAGCUGGGAGCUGCACGCACCGCAGAGCCAGCACCACGGCCAAAGGGCUGACAGGCCAGCAAGAGCCGGUGGUACAUCACAGAUCAUACAUACCAUUUGAAUGAAGGAAGAUCUUCAGCUUAUUAAGAAAAGACAAGAUGAGGAACUUUUUCAUAUAUUGAUCCCUGGGCUGGUCUCUGAAGGCUGAGACUGUCUGGACAGUGGGGACAGAAGAGAGGAAGGAGGAGAUGGGGAUGUGAUGCUUUUGGACGUUCACAAGGAAUAGUCUGACUUCUUGUGAAGCAAAGAGAAGAUGAAUCCUUGGACAUGGAGUCAGGUGUCAGAGUGAAGCGGGCCAUGUGGUGCCGUGGAGAAGAAGUGGACUCUGAGGUCUGACUCACCUGCUUUCAAUAGCUGUGUCCCUACUACCACCUACCAUGUUCAUGUGAGCAUGAAUCUCUAUUUGCUUCUCUCAUUAAUUGGGAUAAACAAAAAACAAAACAAAACAAAUACAUAUCCCCUGAGAGAUAAGAAACGCCAACAUGUUUUCUAGAGAGUAAAUGCUCCGUGAAUAUUAGUUCCUAUCUGUCCAUCUGCCUUGCUUUAUUUUCUUCCUUCUUUCAAGAUUCAUUUCUCCUCCCUUCUUACCUUUUCCUUCCCUCUUCCUCCUUCCUCAGAAAGGAAAGGUUUGGAACAGACACUGGUAGGAGUAUCAGAGAGAGCCAGCAUUCUCCUUUGUGUUUUCCUGCAAGCCCUGCCCUCCCAACCAAAGCCACACGGCAACUGAGCUGUCCUGCCUGCCAUUUCUUUAUAUUUCCCAUGUAUUUAUCCACAGCCUUCCUGCUAGCUCAGCUUCGUAAAUAAAAUUCCAGAGUCUAAAGGAUACGUUAAGGAU